rnacentral:rRNA from 1 species
GAUGAACGCUGGCGGCGUGCCUAAUACAUGCAAGUCGAACGCUGGAGAUCUAGCUUGCUAGAUCGAAGGAGUGGCGAACGGGUGAGUAAUACAUAAGCAACCUACCCACGAAGACUGGGAUAAUCUCUGGAAACGGGGACUAAUACCGGUUAGGUAAUCGGAAGGCAUCUUCUGGUUAUUAAAGGUUAAAAACACUGGUGGAUGGGCUUAUGGCGCAUUAGUUAGUUGGUGAGGUAACGGCCCACCAAGACGAUGAUGCGUAGCCGUCCUGAGAGGGUGAACGGCCACAGUGGGACUGAGACACGGCCCAGACACCUACGGGAGGCAGCAGUAGGGAAUGUUCGGCAAUGGGAGCAACCCUGACCGAGCAACGCCGCGUGAGUGAAGACGGCCUUCGGGUUGUAAAGCUCUGUUGUAAGGGAAGAACGGUAGAUAGAGAAUAUCUAAGUGACGGUACCUUACCAGAAAGCCACGGCUAACUACGUG